GACGAACGCCGGCGGCGUGCCUAAUACAUGCAAGUCGAGCGAAGCGGCGGAGGGGUGGGUAACGCGUGGGUAACCCGCCCUUAAGUCUGGGAUAACGUUUGGAAACAGAUGCUAAUACCGGAUACUACAGGUUGGACCUGCGAUGCAUUAGCUAGUUGGUAAGGUAACGGCUUACCAAGGCGAUGAUGCAGAGCCGAGUUGAGAGACGGAUCGGCCACAUUGGGACGGAGACACGGCCCAAACUCCUCCGGAAAGCAGCAGUAGGGAAUCUUCCACAAUGGACGAAAGUCUGAUGGGGCAACGCGGCGUGAGGGAAGAAGGUUUUCGGAUCGUAAGGCUCUGUUGUUGGGUAAGCGGUAAUCAACCAGAAAGUCACGGCUAACUACGUGCCAGCAGCCGCGGUAAUAC
rnacentral:rRNA from 1 species